CAGCUGUGAGCGAUAGGAUCGUUCUUGUUAAGUUUAAAGAGUUUAGAGGGAGUCACUGCGAAUAAAAUCCACCGAUAACUACAUACAUCGAGUUCUACGCCAAUGAACGUGGGUUCCAACGCAACCUCUAAAUUCGAUCGACGACAAGCAAUUCUUUUAUUCGCACACUACAUGCAUACAUCACAUACAUCACAACUGAUGUAAGAGGAUUUGCGAGGGAAAUUGGCGUGGGCUGCAGUGUGUGAACUACAGUGCGAGUGCCGGGUAGGCACCCUUCCACCCAGUUAGAGAGCUGCAGCAUUAUUGAUUGCCUGGGACGGGAUCGUUGGAGAUGCCAACCGAACGAUCACCCAGAAGGAUUACAAGAAGACAUAAUAUGGAUCAGGCGGCUUCUACAGAAGCCGCAAGACGAACGCCGACACCUACAGAGCGACCUGUGGCUGCCUAUAAGUGAUGCCCUGGUCACGAAUCUGAUGAAGAGGAUCGCUGACCUGGAGGAACGACUCAAAGCUACUGAACAGUAGAGCUGCAAAAACAUCGAUGGUGAUUUCGAUAUUAUCGAUGUUUUCAAAAUUUUCCGAUACAUCGAUGUUUUGUUUUCAACAUCGAUGUUUCGGUGCAGUGUGACUGAAAGUGUCUGCAUCAUUUUCUACAUCUGCUGCUGCCACAUCUUUAGCUCCCGCGUCCUCGUCUGCUUCUGUACGUGCUGCCG